GACGAACGCUGGCGGCGUGCCUAAUACAUGCAAGUCGAACGCAGUGGGGACGGGUGAGUAACACGUGGGUAACCUCCCAUCAGAGGGGAUAACACUUGGAAACAGGUGCUAAACCGAUACUGAUGGAUGGACCCGCGGUGCAUUAGCUAGUUGGUGAGGUCACGGCCCACCAAGGCCACGAUGCAUAGCCGGCCUUGGGGGGGGAUCGGCCAACAUUGGACUGGGGAAAGGCCCCAGCUCCUUCGGGAGGCAGCAGUAGGGAAUCUUCGGCCAUUGGGGGAACCCUGACCGAGCAACGCCGCGUGAGUGAAGAAGGGUUUCGGAUCGUAAAGCUCUGGUGUUAAGGAAGCGGUACUUAACCAGAAAGGGACGGCUAACUACGUGCCAGCAGCCGCGGUAAUAC
rnacentral:rRNA from 1 species